AACGAACGCUGGCGGCAGGCCUAACACAUGCAAGUCGAGCGGACCCUCCGGGGUUAGUGGCGGACGGGUGAGUAACGCGUGGGAAUAUGCCCUUCUCUACGGAAUAGUCCUGGGAAACUGGGGGUAAUACCGUAUACGCCCCUCGGGGGCAAGAUUCAUCGGGGAAGGAUUAGCCCGCGUUGGAUUAGGUUGGUGGUGGGGUAAUGGCCUACCAAGCCGACGAUCCAUAGCUGGUUUGAGAGGAUGAUCAGCCACACUGGGACUAGGACACGGCCCAGACUCCUACGGGAGGCAGGAGUGGGGAAUCUUAGACAAUGGGGGCAACCCUGAUCUAGCCAUGCCGCGUGAGUGAUGAAGGCGUUAGGGUUGUAAAGCUCUUUCAGCUGGGAAGAUAAUGACGGUACCAGCAGAAGAAGCCCCGGCUAACUCCGUG
rnacentral:rRNA from 1 species